UGUUUAUUAAAGAAAGUAAUUCAAAUUAGCCAAAUUCAUAGAGUGCAACUGAGAAAACCCGUACUUCAUACUCAACCAAAACCCAGGUGUUUGCAGGGGAAAGCAGAGUGCGAACAGAGAGGAGCAGAGAGGCUUUAAAGAACUGCAGGACACCAAACCCAGGUGUCCUGAGUUACUGCAAUCAAUGCAGCAAGUGCAGCACAGACAGCACAGCCACACCCUCUCCACUGAUGAACACACAGGGGCAUCACAGGUGGUGUCAGGUUAAGAAAAGAGAAACUUUAUCAUUAAUGAAACUAAUCUGACCUGUUUUCACUUUAUUCCUGUCAUAUAUUCCCUGUCUGUAAAAAAAGGCACAACAUCAAACCUUUUUUGGAGGAGUUAUUGUACACAGAAACAUUGCUUCUGCACAUAUCUGCUUAUUUUGCACCUGAUUCUGAUUGUUCCAUUUGAAUUCCAACCAAUCAAAAAAUAAAUAAAUAUGAUUGUAAUUAAAUGUAUUGCACAUACUUAUUACAUGAUUAUUUGGGAUAUAAUGAAUUGCAGCAGUACAUAUUGGAGCUACAGCCACUCCUCUUGUUGCUGUCUGACUGAUGAUUUCACUUCCACAUCCUUCCUGCAGGCUGGGGAGGAGGAUGCUGCACCGAGCCGGACCGGUCGUUUGUACCUUUUUGAAUUUCGGCGAGAGGGAUCGAUGAGCCCCCCUCUCACUGAGCUACAGCGCAUGGACACAGCAGCUAUUUUAGAUUUGAAAUGGUGCCAUGUGCCGGUGUCAGGGGAGGCGGUGCUGGGACUGGCAGCUGCCAACGGAGAGCUGCAGCUGUACACACUGUCACACAGUCAGUAGGAGGGGGGCCGCAGCCUGCACCUUCUGUGCAGUUUGGAGGUGGGGGCCGAACGGCUGGCUCUGUCUUUAGACUGGUCUACUGGAAGAAUGGACAGGUAACAAACUAUCUGCAUCUGUUUUUCUCCAUCAAAGUUCACAUCACAUUUUCUAUGUAUCUAUUACAAUGUGUUACUGUUACAUGCAGUAUGUCUGCAGUUGGGACAUAAUACUUUGCCCUAACACAGCUCCUUAAACUUUGUCCCUCUUAAUCAUAUCUGCCCUGUUCAAAAGAUUUUGGGUCAGAAUAGCAAGAAAAACAUGUUUGUUGCAUACUGUUACAAACUCAGAUACUCAGGGUAUAGGACCCAAUUGCACGAACCAGGAGACAGAAGUAAAGUAUUUGUAACAAAAAUAAUCACUAUCAAAUCUCUGGAUGAGAUGAAAAAAAGAGAACAAAGGAAAAUCGCUCACGUAGUGAGGAACAAAAUAUCUUGACAACAAGGAGAGCAUAGAUCUGACCUAGGCAUGAGACAAGACAAACUGACAAG